rnacentral:rRNA from 1 species
AACGAACGCUGGCGGCAUGCCUAACACAUGCAAGUCGAACGAGACCUUCGGGUCUAGUGGCGCACGGGUGCGUAACGCGUGGGAACCUUCCCUUAUGGUCGGAAUAACUCCCCGAAAGGGGUGCUAAUACCGGAUAAUGUCUUCUGACCAAAGAUUUAUCGCCUUUGGAUGUGCCCGCGUUGGAUUAGAUAGUUGGUAGGGUAAAAGCCUAUCAAGGCGACGAUCCAUAGCUGGUCUGAGAGGAUGAUCAGCCACACUGGGACUGAGACACGGCCCAGACUCCUACGGGAGGCAGGAGUGGCGAAUAUUGGAAAAUGGGCGAAAGCCUGAUCCAGCAAUGCCGCGUGAGUGAUGAAGGCCUUAGAGUUGUAAAGCUCUUUUACCCGGGAUGAUAAUGACAGUACCGAGAGAAUAAGCUCCGGCUAACUCCGUG